rnacentral:rRNA from 1 species
UACGAGGGGGGCAAGCGUUGUUCGGAAUUACUGGGCGUAAAGCGUGCGCAGGCGGUGAUGUAAGACAGAUGUGAAAUCCCCGGGCUCAACCUGGGAACUGCAUUUGUGACUGCAUCGCUGGAGUACGGCAGAGGGGGAUGGAAUUCCGCGUGUAGCAGUGAAAUGCGUAGAUAUGCGGAGGAACACCGAUGGCGAAGGCAAUCCCCUGGGCCUGUACUGACGCUCAUGCACGAAAGCGUGGGGAGCAAACAGG